rnacentral:misc_RNA from 1 species
GUUUCUCUUGCCCGGUAAUUGCAUGAGAGAAAGUGGCUGAUCUUGGAGUGAGUGUUUAAGUUGUGUUUUCUUUUUGUAAAUGUCAAGGGUGCAGUUUUGCGUUGCUCCUUGCGAAGCAAAUAGAGGAUCGUUAACCUUAACAUCUCCAGAAACUAUUUGGAUGAAUACUCAAGAUGAUUUUGGAAUUGAUGGGUUGUAUUUGUAUAUAUUUGUUAGAGAAGAUUUUCUUGAUCAGGCAUGGCGAGUUCUCUGUUAUUAGUUUAAACUUUGUGCAUAACUCUGUAUUUUCUCUAGUUGGAUAACAUUCUACAUUCCUCAUGAUGAGAAUUUUU